rnacentral:rRNA from 1 species
GCUCAGAUUGAACGCUGGCGGCAUGCCUUACACAUGCAAGUCGAACGGUAACGCGGGGCAACCUGGCGACGAGUGGCGAACGGGUGAGUAAUAUAUCGGAACGUGCCCAGUAGUGGGGAUAGCCCGGCGAAAGCCGUAUUAAUACCGCAUGAGACCUGAGGGUGAAAGCGGGGGAUCGCAAGACCUCGCGCUAUUGGAGCGGCCGAUAUCAGAUUAGGUAGUUGGUGGGGUAAAAGCCUACCAAGCCGACGAUCUGUAGCUGGUCUGAGAGGACGACCAGCCACACUGGGACUGAGACACGGCCCAGACUCCUACGGGAGGCAGCAGUGGGGAAUUUUGGACAAUGGGCGCAAGCCUGAUCCAGCCAUGCCGCGUGCGGGAAGAAGGCCUUCGGGUUGUAAACCGCUUUUGUCAGGGAAGAAAUCUUCUGGGCUAAUACCUCGGGAGGAUGACGGUACCUGAAGAAUAAGCACCGGCUAACUACGUGCCAGCAGCCGCGGUAAUACGUAGGGUGCGAGCGUUAAUCGGAAUUACUGGGCGUAAAGCGUGCGCAGGCGGUCUUGCAAGACAGGUGUGAAAUCCCCGGGCUUAACCUGGGAACUGCACUUGUGACUGCAAGGCUGGAGUACGGCAGA